UACGUAGGGGGACUAGCGUUGUCCGGAAUCAUUGGGCGUAAAGCGCGUGUAGGCGGUCCGGUAAGUCCGCUGUGAAAGUCGGGGGGUCAAACCCUCGGUGCCGGUGGGAUACUGUCGGGCUUGAGUACGGAAGAGGCGAGUGGAAUUCCUGGUGUAGCGGUGAAAUGCGCAGAUAUCAGGAGGAACACCAAUUGCGAAGGCAGCUCGCUGGGACGUUACUGACGCUGAGACGCGAAAAGCGUGGGGGAGCAAACAGG
rnacentral:rRNA from 1 species